rnacentral:rRNA from 1 species
UUAGGAAUAUUGGACAAUGGGGGAAACCCUGAUCCAGCCAUGCCGCGUGAGUGAAGAAGGCCUUAGGGUUGUAAAGCUCUUUCGGCUGUGAAGAUAAUGACAGUAGCAGAAGAAGAAGCCCCGGCUAAAUUCGUGCCAGCAGCCGCGGUAAUACGAAUGGGGCGAGCGUUGUUCGGAAUCACUGGGCGUAAAGCGUACGCAGGCGGUCAUGAAAGUCAGGAGUGAAAUCCCAGGGCUUAACCCUGGAAUGGCUCUUGAAACUCCAUGACUAGAGUACUGGAGAGGUUAGCGGAAUUCCGAGUGUAGAGGUGAAAUUCGCAGAUAUUCGGAGGAACACCAAUGGCGUAGGCAGCUAACUGGACAGUAACUGACGCUCAUGUACGAAAGCGUGGGGAUCAAACA